rnacentral:rRNA from 1 species
UACGUAGGGCGCAAGCGUUGUCCGGAAUUAUUGGGCGUAAAGAGCUCGUAGGCGGCUUGUCACGUCGGUUGUGAAAGCCCGGGGCUUAACCCCGGGUCUGCAGUCGAUACGGGCUAGCUAGAGUGUGGUAGGGGAGAUCGGAAUUCCUGGUGUAGCGGUGAAAUGCGCAGAUAUCAGGAGGAACACCGGUGGCGAAGGCGGAUCUCUGGGCCUUACCUGACGCUCAGGUGCGAAAGCUAGGGGAGCGAACAGG